GUCACCCAUCUCAAAACCCAGAGUAUUACAUGUCUAGCUUAAUUGUUAGGUUUUAAGACAAAAGGAACUGAGGCUCAUCAGAGCAGAACAACAGGUAGUCCCUAGGAAGUCACGUGGGAAUGAGCUUGAAUAAGUUUGUUACCUUGUUGGUUGGCAGAUGUACUUGGAGUGUGUAUCUUAAGCUUUUGUUUUUUCACGGGCAUCUUUCUGUUUUGAGCAAAGGCGGCUUCAAUGAUCCAUCCUAAAGAGGUGCCCCCUGAGGCCAUCUUGCUGGCAGUCUACCUUGAACUGCAGAAUGGUAAUACUCAGCUGGCCUUACAGAUCAUCAAAAGGAAUCAGCUGCUCCCUGCAGUG
rnacentral:lncRNA from 1 species